AUUGAACGCUGGCGGAAUGCUUUACACAUGCAAGUCGAACGGCAGCACGGGGGCAACCCUGGUGGCGAGUGGCGAACGGGUGAGUAAUACAUCGGAACGUGCCCUGUCGUGGGGGAUAACGUAGCGUAAGUUACGCUAAUACCGCAUACGAUCUGAGGAUGAAAGCGGGGGACCUUCGGGCCUCGCGCGAUUGGAUCUCCCUAUGUCAGAUUAGGUAGUUGGUUUGGUAAAGGCCUACCAAGCCGACGAUCUGUAGCUGGUCUGAGAGGACGACCAGCCACACUGGAACUGAGACACGGCCCAGACUCCUACGGGAGGCAGCAGUGGGGAAUUUUGGACAAUGGGCGCAAGCCUGAUGCAGCCAUGCCGCGUGAAGGACGAAGGCCUUCGGGUUGUAAACUGCUUUUGUAUGGAACGAAAAGGCUCUGGAUAAUACCUGGGGGUCAUGACGGUACCGAAAGAAUAAGCACCGGCUAACUACGUG
rnacentral:rRNA from 1 species